GAUGAACGCUAGCGGCAGGCUUAAUACAUGCAAGUCGUGGGGCAGCAGGGGUAGCAAUACUCGCUGGCGACCGGCAAACGGGUGCGGAACACGUACACAACCUUCCUUCUAGUGGGGAAUAGCCCAGGGAAACUUGGAUUAAUACCCCGUAACAUAUUGAAGUGGCAUCACUUUAAUAUUAUAGCUCCGGCGCUAGAUGAUGGGUGUGCGGCUGAUUAGAUAGUUGGCAGGGUAACGGCCUACCAAGUCUACGAUCAGUAGCUGAUGUGAGAGCAUGAUCAGCCACACGGGCACUGAGACACGGGCCCGACUCCUACGGGAGGCAGCAGUAAGGAAUAUUGGUCAAUGGACGCAAGUCUGAACCAGCCAUGCCGCGUGAAGGAUGAAGGUCCUCUGGAUUGUAAACUUCUUUUAUAUGGGACGAAAAAAGGUCAUUCUUGAUCACUUGACGGUACCAUUUGAAUAAGCACCGGCUAACUCCGUGCCAGCCGCCGCCGUAACAC
rnacentral:rRNA from 1 species